AGUGAACGCUGGCGGUAGGCCUAACACAUGCAAGUCGAACGGCAGCACAGCAAGAGCUUGCUCUUACGGGUGGCGAGUGGCGGACGGGUGAGGAAUACAUCGGAAUCUACUUUUUCGUGGGGGAUAACGUAGGGAAACUUACGCUAAUACCGCAUACGACCUACGGGUGAAAGCAGGGGAUCUUCGGACCUUGCGCGAUUGAAUGAGCCGAUGUCGGAUUAGCUAGUUGGCGGGGUAAAGGCCCACCAAGGCGACGAUCCGUAGCUGGUCUGAGAGGAUGAUCAGCCACACUGGAACUGAGACACGGUCCAGACUCCUACGGGAGGCAGCAGUGGGGAAUAUUGGACAAUGGGCGCAAGCCUGAUCCAGCCAUACCGCGUGGGUGAAGAAGGCCUUCGGGUUGUAAAGCCCUUUUGUUGGGAAAGAAAAGCAGCUGGUUAAUACCCCGCUGUUCUGACGGUACCCAAAGAAUAAGCACCGGCUAACUUCGUG
rnacentral:rRNA from 1 species